GACGAACGCUGGCGGCGUGCCUAACACAUGCAAGUCGAACGGAAAGGCCCUGCUUUUGUGGGGUGCUCGAGUGGCGAACGGGUGAGUAACACGUGUGUAACCUGCCCCUGACUUUGGGAUAACUUCAGGAAACAGGGGCUAAUACCGGAUAGGAGCUCCUGCUGCAUGGUGGGGGUUGGAAAGUUUCGGCGGUUGGGGAUGGACUCGCGGCUUAUCAGCUUGUUGGUGGGGUAGUGGCUUACCAAGGCUUUGACGGGUAGCCGGCCUGAGAGGGUGACCGGCCACAUUGGGACUGAGGUACGGCCCAGACUCCUACGGGGGGCUGCGGUGGGAAAUAUUGCGCAAUGGGCGGAAGCCUGAUGCAACAACGUCGCGUGCGGGAUGACGGCCUUCGGGUUAUAAACCGCUUUCGCCUGUGACGAAGCGUGAGUGACGGUAAUGGGUAAAGAAGCACCGGCUAGCUACGUG
rnacentral:rRNA from 1 species